UUUUCCAAGGACCACGCAUGCGCGAUGCGCGAUGCGUGAUGCGUCACUGCGUGACCACGCAGCACUUGAACCUGUGUGUUGAAACGGGGAUGAUUUCCAAGGCCGCGCAAGCGGGGUUUUACCGCUCGCCACGGCUGCGUGUCGCGGAUGGGCAUCGCGCAGUAGUUGCCUGGCCCCCGACUUCAGCGUGAUCACGCAUGCGAUUUAUCAUGGAGUCAAAGAGUUUUACUGCAGAACAGGACGAGAAAUUGAUUGAUUUAGUAAGGGAGCAUCGUGUGUUAUAUGAUUUGCAUCACUGCAAGUACAAAGACAGUAUUAUUCGAGAAAAUGUGUGGAAGGAAAUUGCAGCUUCUUUAAACAAAGGUGCAGAAGACUGCAAAACGAGAUGGAGAACCAAUCGUGACUCCUACAGAAAAAGCAACAAGAAACUGAAAACUGGGUCGAAGACAGGUUCACCGGCAUUUUCAAAAUCGAAAUACAACACAGAAAGCCUGAAAUUCCUUGAUGAAACCUUCAAAGAAAGAGCAUCAAAAUCAAGCAUCAACAUAAAUGAAAUAAUUGAAAAUAAUCAAGAAACACAAGAAAUAGUGGAUGACUGUCCCUCUGAAGAGUGCAACCAAUUUCAAGAAGAAGAAAGCGCUCAAGAAUCUACAAAUUGGCCUAGCGAGCAAACAAGUUCUUUAGAAUUGUUAAACAGCUCCAU